GAUGAACGCUGGCGGCGUGCCUAAUACAUGCAAGUCGAGCGAACAGACGAGGAGCUUGCUCCUCUGACGUUAGCGGCGGACGGGUGAGUAACACGUGGAUAACCUACCUAUAAGACUGGGAUAACAUCGGGAAACCGGAGCUAAUACCGGAUAAUAUAUUGAACCGCAUGGUUCAAUAGUGAAAGACGGUUUUGCUGUCACUUAUAGAUGGAUCCGCGCCGCAUUAGCUAGUUGGUAAGGUAACGGCUUACCAAGGCGACGAUGCGUAGCCGACCUGAGAGGGUGAUCGGCCACACUGGAACUGAGACACGGUCCAGACUCCUACGGGAGGCAACAGUAGGGAAUCUUCCGCAAUGGGCGAAAGCCUGACGGAGCAACGCCGCGUGAGUGAUGAAGGUCUUCGGAUCGUAAAACUCUGUUAUUAGGGAAGAACAAAUGUGUAAGUAACUAUGCACGUCUUGACGGUACCUAAUCAGAAAGCCACGGCUAACUACGUG
rnacentral:rRNA from 1 species